AACGCGAAGAACCUUACCUACUCUUGACAUCCAGCGAACUUAGCAGAGAUGCUUUGGUGCCUUCGGGAACGCUGAGACAGGUGCUGCAUGGCUGUCGUCAGCUCGUGUUGUGAAUGUUGGGUUAAGUCCCGCAACGAGCGCAACCCUUAUCCUUUGUUGCCAGCGAUUCGGUCGGGAACUCAAAGGAGACUGCCGGUGAUAAACCGGAGGAAGGUGGGGAUGACGUCAAGUCAUCAUGGCCCUUACGAGUAGGGCUACACACGUGCUACAAUGGCGCAUACAAAGAGAAGCGACCUCGCGAGAGCAAGCGGACCUCACAAAGUGCGUCGUAGUCCGGAUCGGAGUCUGCAACUCGACUCCGUGAAGUCGGAAUCGCUAGUAAUCGUAGAUCAGAGUGCCACGGUGAAUACGUUCCCGGGCCUUGUACACACCG
rnacentral:rRNA from 1 species